rnacentral:rRNA from 1 species
UAUGUGAUCGUCUCUCGCAUAUCAAUAAGCGGAGGAAAAGAAACUAACAAGGAUUCCCCUAGUAACGGCGAGUGAAGCGGGAAGAGCUCAAAUUUGAAAUCUUAAAGGGUUUCCCUUUACGAAUUGUAGUUUAAAGAAGUGUUUUCUGUUGAGGUUUUGGUAAAGUUCUUUGGAAUAGGACAUCAUAGAGGGUGAGAAUCCCGUAUUUGACCUUUACUUUCAACUUUGUGAUACACUUUCAAAGAGUCGGAUUGUUUGGGAAUGCAGUCCAAAAUGGGUGGUAAAUUUCAUCUAAAGCUAAAUAUUGGCGAGAGACCGAUAGCGAACAAGUACCGUGAGGGAAAGAUGAAAAAGAACUUUGAAAAGAGAGUUAAACAGUACGUGAAAUUGUCAAAAGGGAAGCGUUUGACACCAGUGUUGUUUUUCUGAAAAUCAAUUAAAGAACUGUUUAUGCUAAGCUGUUUAGACUUUAUCAGCUAUCUGCUUAGUUUUGAGCUUUUCUUUAAUGCACUUUUCAGUUAACAAGUCAACAUCAAUUUCUUUUGCUGUAAAAAAGCUUGAGGAAGGUGGCUUGAGAUUCGUCUUAAGUGUUUAUAGCCUCUUGCCUAUGCAGUCGGAGAGAUUGAGGUCUGCAGCGUAGAUCCUUCGGGGCUAAAUGCAUUUGUGCUAAGUUAUAGCAUUUUAUAGACAACUUGUUGACUAUGAUUUGUCUUGUAGCUUACUCGCUUAUGUUAUUUUACCUACGCUUAGGAUGUUGAUCUACAGAGCGAGAGU